GGAUAAUAUUAAGUUUCAUCAGGGGCUGACAUCAAUUAAAGCUGCUGUUUCAUAUGUGGUCUUCACAUUAAAGCAGAUCAAUAGAGCCCUGGGAACCUGGUACACAGCUCUUAAUUUGUUCAUGAUAUCAACGUGGAAUUGAUUCAGAAGCAGAAGAUGUGGACUUGGAGUGCAUACAAGGGCUCAUGAAACUUUCCAGCCCUCUCCUGGGAAGGAUGUAGUUCUGAUCUUCAUAUUCAAAGCUAUAUGACCGGCCCCAUUUCCACAUUUCACUCUGUGGAAGGAAGAAGAGA